GUGUAACGAGUAACGACAACAAUAUAAUUUACUAGUUUUUCUAUUAAAGAUCUGUUUUUUUUUACUAGUUUUCUCCACUAAAAUCAAUUCUACACGGAGAUUCGAUUCUAAGCUGUUUCAGUCCCACGAUCUCGGAUUUGUUCUCUCCGUACGUACGAAUGGAAGCUUCGAUUUCGUUAAUUGGGUCAACUACAAAGCCUAACCUUUCAUCACUUAUUAUCCCUUCUUCUUCCAUCGUCCUCCAUCCUCGUCUCCCUCUUCCUGCUUUGAGGCUGAAGAAAGUCUCAGUCUUUCCUCGAAUCUCCCACCGUAACCGCCUCAUCAGAGCUCAGUGCUCAGAUGGGUUGAGACCAGAGGAAGACGAUGGGUUUGUGCUAGAAGACGUCCCUCACUUGACAACCUUCCUCCCUGAUUUGCCGUCGUACCCAAAUCCAUUGAAGGAAAGCCAAGCAUACGCCAUUGUUAAGCGAACCUUUGUCAGUUCCGAAGAUGUGGUUCCACAAAACAUUGUAGUCCAGAAGGGAAGUAAGCGAGGAGUACACUUUAGGCGAGCAGGGCCUCGAGAAAGAGUGUACUUUAGAUCAGAUGAAGUAAAAGCUUGCAUAGUGACGUGUGGGGGCUUGUGCCCUGGGAUUAAUACGGUUAUACGGGAGAUUGUAUGUGGAUUGAACAAUAUGUAUGGAGUCAGUAAUAUUCUCGGCAUUCAGGGAGGAUAUAAAGGCUUUUAUUCUAAAAACACUAUGACCUUGACGCCUAAAGUGGUUAAUGAUAUUCAUAAACGUGGUGGCACUUUUCUUCAAACCUCGAGAGGAGGACAUGAUACAGCCAAGAUUGUUGAUAACAUUCAAGAUAGAGGAAUAAAUCAGGUGUAUAUUAUUGGAGGUGAUGGGACUCAAAAGGGUGCAGAGAAGAUUUACCAGGAAGUGGAGAGGCGUGGGCUUCAGGUGGCGGUUUCUGGCAUCCCCAAGACAAUUGAUAAUGAUAUUGCUGUGAUUGACAAAUCCUUUGGGUUUGACACUGCUGUUGAGGAAGCUCAGAGAGCUAUCAAUGCUGCACAUGUAGAAGUGGAGAGCGUGGAGAAUGGAGUUGGUAUUGUUAAACUCAUGGGCAGAUACAGCGGUUUUAUUGCAAUGAUUGCAACUUUAGCGAACCGUGAUGUGGAUUGUUGCCUGAUUCCAGAGUCUCCAUUCUACCUUGAAGGAAAAGGUGGGCUGUUUGAGUUUGUAGAACAACGACUCAAAGAGAAUAGCCACAUGGUUAUUGUGAUAGCCGAAGGAGCUGGGCAGGACUAUGUUGCUCAAAGCAUGCGUGCUUCUGAAACUAAAGAUGCGUCAGGAAAUAGACUCUUGCUUGAUGUUGAAACAUUCGAGAUGAGUUUUUGUGAACACAACGUUGCAGGAUCAUUUCACAAAUGUUCGGAAAAUGACUAUAAACAUGAAGUACAUAGAUCCGACGUAUAUGAUAAGAGCAAUUCCGAGUAACGCGUCAGAUAAUGUCUAUUGCACUCUUCUUGCUCAAAGUGCACUUCAUGGAGCAAUGGCUGGGUACUCAGGUUUCACCGUUGGACCAGUUAACAGCAGACAUGCUUACAUCCCUAUUUCUCGAGUGACAGAAGUGACCAAUACGGUGAAGUUAACGGAUAGGAUGUGGGCUAGACUUCUUGCAUCAACAAAUCAACCGAGUUUCUUGACUGGUGCAGGAGCGUUGCAGAAUGUGAUCGACAUGGAAACUCAAGAUAAGAUUGAUAACAUGAAGAUCUCUUCUAUCUAGCUAGAAACAGGCCACCUUAUAUAUAUCAUCAACUGUUGCUAGACCAUAUGCAUAGAAGAUAUAUCUCUUUGUCGACAACCAUGGAGUAUUUCAUUGGUUACAAGAACUCUUUGGUUAUAGCUUAUUCGCAAUAAUAGUACUCAAUUUAGAUGUAAACACACGGAUCUUUUGUCUCUCUCUAUCUAUCUAUCUCUCUGCUAGUUUAAUA